rnacentral:lncRNA from 1 species
AGCAAGCUUUAAUCAAAUUCAAAAGAAACCUUAAAGAAAUUAUAAAAAAAAACAAUAAGAAAUCUUAAAGGAGUUCAAAAGAAAUUCACAAUAAACCUUGUAAGAAUAUUUAAGAAAUCCUAAAGAAAUAUUAAAAUAAUUAAAAAUAUAUAUUAAAUAAAUCUCAAAAAAUUCAUAAUUUAAAUAUAAUUGAAAACUUAAUAGACUUCAAUCAAAUCCUAGGCGAAAUCUUAAACCCUAAAUAACCUUAAAUCAUAAAUCUUAAACAAAUCCUAAGCAAAUUUUAAAUCUUAAAUCCUAAUUUAAUUCCUAAAUUUUAAGCAAAUCCUAAAAAAAUCCUAAAUCUUAAAUCCUAAACCAAAUCUUAAUCAAAUCCUAAAUCCUAUUCCAAUCCUAAUCAUAAACCAAAUCCUAACCAAAACUUAACCAAUUCAACCUAAUCCUAGUAUAAUUUAGUAU